rnacentral:lncRNA from 1 species
ACUACCACCAGGUGUCGCUCUCGGACGCCCCUGCACGAUCCCACCAAGGUGACGGCCGGGAGUCCAGACCUUGGCCCGGAAGUUGCCGGAGGCCACGGCUGAGGAAAUCAGUUAUUUUACCGUCGUUUCUGUAGGCUGAGUGGAGUCCGUAGUAGAGCAUUAACUUUCCACCUUGUAAGCUGUGCACAAGAACUACGCACACAUCACACCGCUUGACCCUCUUGGAGAACACCAUUUCUUCCCCAAACCAGCAUAAUGUCAAGAGCCCCGUACAGGACUGCUUCUAACAAUGUCCAGGGCACUGGACUCGGUGGAACCAAACAUGACUCUGCGUUCAACAGCGCCUGGCUGUCCUCAGAUCUGAGAUGGAUGAGAGCGGCCCUGUGAGCUGCUGAGAGGGACGACCUUUCCAGACCCCUCCUCUUGUUGAAAUCAAAUAUAAAAAUC